AGCGAACGCUGGCGGCAGGCCUAACACAUGCAAGUCGAACGAACCUUUCGGGGUUAGUGGCGGACGGGUGAGUAACACGUGGGAACGUGCCUUUAGGUUCGGAAUAACUCAGGGAAACUUGUGCUAAUACCGAAUGUGCCCUUCGGGGGAAAGAUUAAUCGCCUUUAGAGCGGCCCGCGUCUGAUUAGCUAGUUGGUUGAGGUAAUGGCUCACCAAGGCGGCGAUCAGUAGCUGGUCUGAGAGGAUGAUCAGCCACAUUGGGACUGGGACACGGCCCAAACUCCUACGAGAGGCAGCAGUGGGGAAUCUUGCGCAAUGGGCGAAAGCCUGACGCAGCCAUGCCGCGUGAAUGAUGAAGGUCUUAGGAUUGUAAAAUUCUUUCACCGGGGACGAUAAUGACGGUACCCGGAGAAGAAGCCCCGGCUAACUUCGU
rnacentral:rRNA from 1 species